AGUGAAUCCCUUGCGCUCAGGGGGUUCCCACACUGCUGCUAUCUCCGAGGUCAGAGCACAGAUGCCGGUGACUAAGGACGUGCCACCAUUUGUCAUCUGCAGUCAAUCUCUCUUGAAGAAAAAAGAAUGGAGGGGAAUGCGGAGCUGUGAUUCAGCUUUGUGUUUCAGGAGAACAGGCAGUGAGGGUGAAGCUUCGUUCUUCUGCUGUGACUGGGAGAAAUGGAGUGCCCAUCCCUGCGUGAUCCUGAUUCAUCAGCCAGCAGUGCUGCCUGAGCAGAGGGCUCGGGUGAGCAACUGAAUUUCUUUG
rnacentral:lncRNA from 1 species